GUAGCACCUUAUAGACUAGCUAAGUUUGUUCUGGUAUAAGUUUGCGUGUGCAUGCACAUUUCUUAAGAAAGCUUAUACCAGAACAAACUUAGUUGGUCUAUAAGGUGCUAC